AUCAUCUCCCUGCUUUCCCGUCCAAGCAGAACCGCUCUGCUUUUCUGUUUCAUAUUUUGGAUAUUUAAGAUUUCAUUUGGAAAAGAAUUUUCACGGCUUCAAAACCAAUUUAGCCUUGUCUUCCCCGGUGGUCUCGUGGGUAGGACUGAGCGCGUUCAUGGCUGCAGCCCGGGUUCCAUUCCCCGUCUAGGAACUCAGAUCCCACAUCAAGACGCAGCAGGGUGCAGCCAAAAAAAAAAAGACAAAAACAAUCUAGCAUCGGCUGAUGUCUUAGGGAGGAAGAGCAGAGGAUGAGACGUGGAGUAUGGAAGAUCUGCCUUUGAGACCGAGAACCACGUGUUCCCAGAAAUAGGACAUGGAGACGUAUGGGAACCAGCGCUGCCUGUGGUCCUGCGGUGCCACCAGCCUGCCUCGUGGCCACCCCAGGCUGAAAAGGACCAGGGUCUGACCUCCACGUCAUGGGAAAAUGAAAGCCGGAUGCCAGGUUGUGGUGUGGCUCUAACAGGAAGCAGGUGGCCCUUUUGUUGUGCACCUGUGUUCUUUGCUGUCACCAAGGUGGGCCCAGGUAGAGCCAGCUGUGGGAGCCUGGUCCCGGGGUCCUUGGUUUGAGUUGAUUACAUAUUCCAGCGAUAGGCUAUGAUCUGUCAUGGUCGAAGGUGGUGGCCUCUGCCAAUUUAUCCCCCAGGAAAAAUUUCAAGGAAACGCUGUAGUCUUGUAGAAUCCUUGACUUAAUAUCUGAGAAAAGGUUUUGUGUUUUUAUUUUGUUCGAAUGUUUGCUUUAACACUGAUAUUACCAUUGCUUCUAGGAAAUUCCUUUGAUAAAUUUUCUCCUUGGAAAUUGUCCUUUUCUUUGCAAGGCCACACCAAGAAUGUAACUUUGGCUUAUUAAUGAUGUCUCAUGACUCCUGGUUAAUUCAACUGCAACGCACUUUUAAAAGCAUGGCUUUUUUUUUUUUUUUUCUGGAGUUCCCAUUGUGGCUCAGCGGUUAAUGAACCUGACUAGGAUCCAUGAGAACAUGGUUCAAUCCCUGGCUUCACUCAGUGGGUUAAGGAUCUGGUGUUGUGGUGAGCCCUGGUGUAGGUUGCAGAUGUGGCUCGGAUCUGGCGGUGCUGCGGCUGUGGCAUAGGCCAGCAGCUAUAGCUCUGAUUGGACCCCUAGCCUGGGACUUUCCAUAUGGGGCAAGUGCUCCCCUCCAAGAAAAAGUAAAAGCUUUUUUGGCAUUAAUAUCUUUUCAUGUGUGCUUGUGUCCACAUGAGAGCAUCUUUCCAUCUCAGUGAGAAAAAUGAGCAUCCCCAUAGGAUAAUACACUCUCACCUUCUUCUCAUGCCGCUUCAAAUUGUAAGUAAAGAGAUAUAAAUUGGGGGCUAAUUAUACUCUUUCCAGUUUUCUUAUUUUUCCUCCAGAGCGCCUUCGGAAUACGGCAGAGAUACUGUAACGCCACCUGCCAGGGCUGUGACUCGAACCAGGCAAGUGAGGUAAGCACCUCAAAGGACAAAUUUUAAAGAGUGCCCCAAAUGCAGUAAUCAAGAGAAAUUAGCAUUUAAUAUAAUGCUUUUUUAAAAAUAAAAGCGAAUGCACAAAAAUCCA
rnacentral:lncRNA from 1 species